rnacentral:lncRNA from 1 species
GUUUAAAUGUUUAAACAGAGGAUACAUCUAAAACAGGAUAAAACAAGUGCAGUAUGUUCUGAGAAUGUUACUGUUUGUCCAGUGUGUGGGGGUGUUUGUCCAGUGUGUGUGUGUGUGUGUUUGUCCAGUGUGUGUGUGUGUGUGUGUGUUUGUCCAGUGUGUGUGUGUGUGUGUGUUUGUCCAGUGUGUGUGUGUGUGUGUGUGUCCAGUGUGUGUGUGUGUGUGUGUGUGUGUCCAGUGUGUGUGUGUGUGUCCAGUGUGUGUGUGUGUGUCCAGUGUGUGUGUGUGUGUCCAGUGUGUGUGUGUGUGUGUUUGUCUAGUGUGUGUGUCCAGUGUGUGUGUGUCUGUGUGUAUCCAGUGUUUGUGUGUGUGUGUGUCCAGUGUGUGUGUUUGUCCAGUGUGUGUGUCCAGUGUGUGUGUGUGUGUGUGUCCAGUGUGUGUGUGUGUGUGUGUGUGUGUUGUGUGUGAGUCCAGUGUGUGUGAGUCCAGUGUGUGUGUGUGUGUGAGUCCAGUGUGUGUGUGUUUGUCCAGUGUGUGUGUGUGUUUGUCCAGUGUGUGUGUGUGUGUGUGUGUGUGUGUGUGUGUUUGUCCAGUGUGUGUGUGUGUGUGUUUGUCCAGUGUGUGUGUGUGUGUGUGUGUGUCCAGUGUGUGUGUGUGUGUGUGUGUGUCCAGUGUGUGUGUGUGUGUGUGUCCAGUGUGUGUGUGUGUGUCCAGUGUGUGUGUGUGUGUCCAGUGUGUGUGUGUGUGUCCAGUAUGUGUGUGUGUGUGUCCAGUGUGUGUGUGUCCAGUGUGUGUGUGUGUCCAGUGUGUGUGUGUGAG